rnacentral:rRNA from 1 species
UAACACAUGCAAGUCGAACGGAAAGGCCCUCCUUUUGUGGGGUGCUCGAGUGGCGAACGGGUGAGUAACACGUGAGUAACCUGCCCUUGACUUUGGGAUAACUUCAGGAAACUGGGGCUAAUACCGGAUAGGAGCUCCUGCUGCAUGGUGGGGGUUGGAAAGUUUCGGCGGUUGGGGAUGGACUCGCGGCUUAUCAGCUUGUUGGUGGGGUAGUGGCUUACCAAGGCUUUGACGGGUAGCCGGCCUGAGAGGGUGACCGGCCACAUUGGGACUGAGAUACGGCCCAGACUCCUACGGGAGGCAGCAGUGGGGAAUAUUGCACAAUGGGCGGAAGCCUGAUGCAGCAACGCCGCGUGCGGGAUGACGGCCUUCGGGUUGUAAACCGCUUUCGCCUGUGACGAAGCGUGAGUGACGGUAAUGGGUAAAGAAGCACCGGCUAACUACGUGCCAGCAGCCGCGGUGAUACGUAGGGUGCGAGCGUUGUCCGGAUUUAUUGGGCGUAAAGGGCUCGUAGGUGGUUGAUCGCGUCGGAAGUGUAAUCUUGGGGCUUAACCCUGAGCGUGCUUUCGAUACGGGUUGACUUGAGGAAGGUAGGGGAGAAUGGAAUUCCAGGUGGAGCGGUGGAAUGCGCAGAUAUCAGGAGGAACACCAGUGGCGAAGGCGGUUCUCUGGGCCUUUCCUGACGCUGAGGAGCGAAAGCGUGGGGAGCGAACAGGCUUAGAUACCCUGGUAGUCCACGCUGUAAACGGUGGGUACUAGGUGUGGGGUCCAUUCCACGGGUUCCGUGCCGUAGCUAACGCUUUAAGUACCCCGCCUGGGGAGUACGGCCGCAAGGCUAAAACUCAAAGGAAUUGACGGGGCCCCGCACAAGCGGCGGAGCAUGCGGAUUAAUUCGAUGCAACGCGUAGAACCUUACCUGGGUUUGACAUGGAUCGGGAGUGCUCAGAGAUGGGUGUGCCUCUUUUGGGGUCGGUUCACAGGUGGUGCAUGGCUGUCGUCAGCUCGUGUCGUGAGAUGUUGGGUUAAGUCCCGCAACGAGCGCAACCCUUGUUCACUGUUGCCAGCACGUUAUGGUGGGGACUCAGUGGAGACCGCCGGGGUCAACUCGGAGGAAGGUGGGGAUGACGUCAAGUCAUCAUGCCCCUUAUGUCCAGGGCUUCACGCAUGCUACAAUGGCUGGUACAGAGAGUGGCGAGCCUGUGAGGGUGAGCGGAUCUCGGAAAGCCGGUCUCAGUUCGGAUUGGGGUCUGCAACUCGACCUCAUGAAGUCGGAGUCGCUAGUAAUCGCAGAUCAGCAACGCUGCGGUGAAUACGUUCCCGGGGCUUGUACACACCGCCCGUCAAGUCAUGAAAGUUGGUAACACCCGAAGCCGGUGGCCUAACCGUUGUGGGGGAGCCGUCGAAGGUGGGACUGGUGAUUAGGACUAAGUC